rnacentral:rRNA from 1 species
UACGUAGGCAGCGAGCGUUGUUCGGAGUUACUGGGCGUAAAGCGUGCGUAGGCGGUGUCUUAAGUUUGUUGUGAAAUCUCCCGGCUUAACCGGGAGGGUGCGGCGAAUACUGAGAUGCUGGAGUGCCGGAGAGGUAAGCGGAAUUCCUGGUGUAGCGGUGAAAUGCGUAGAUAUCAGGAGGAAUACCCGUGGCGAAGGCGGCUUCCUGGGGCACCACUGACGCUGAGAAGCGAAAGCUAGGGGAGCAAACGGG